GAUGAUGAUGUUAUUGGGGAAUUCAGAGCGGAGAAAGAAGAGGAGAAUAAGAAAUCCGAAAUCCCUGAAGUGGAAGUUGGCAUGCCUGGAUGGGGUUAUUGGGCUGGUCACAAACUGCAACCCAGCCAAAACCCUCGCAAAAGACGCCGUAGGAUUAUAAACUUGCCAAAACCGCCACCUCGGCUGGAUCAGAACAAAGGACGUGCAAUUAUUUUUGAAGAAGAAUCCCAAUCUGCACAGGCUCAUCAGAUUGAUGCAAUUCCAUUCCCAUUCAAAUCAGUCGAAGAUUACGAAAAAGUGUCCGGCAGCCAGUAGGGAAAGUGUUUGUACCCACAACCGCCAGUAGGAAGUUAACUGCUCCACCUGUUUUAACCAAAUUAGGAACUGUAAUCGAACCCAUGGAUUCAUCUCAGUUAUUGAAAACUGAUAUUUUGAAAUUAAAUAAAUGAACGUUUUAUUUUAAAGCUUGUUGGUCUAUUUCAACUAAUUCUACUGGUCAACACGCUUUGAUCUGCCAAAAAACUAGGAAUUGAGGCCAGGCUGAUUUAGUGCCCGCUGAUUCUGAACCUGACCUCUAUUUUUCUGCACCAGUUCAGUCAUGUCUGAAAAAGUCCUAAUUUUCUUUAGAAAUCAAACUUUGCUGUGUUAAAUUCUAACACCCGGAAAGUCUGACCCCAACGAAGAGAAACCAAGGUCAUUUCUGGAUUCAGCAGCCAAAAACAUGCAGCCAAUUUUGCUGAAAAUUGGCGUACCCUUAUUUUUCACCUCUUGCCCAAAAAAUAAAGUCACUGUUAUUCAUGAAAAUACCUUUUUCCCCUCUUCGCUAUUGUUUAUUUUUAAUUGACUAAGAGACAUUUUAAAAAGUCUUCUUUGA
rnacentral:lncRNA from 1 species